AACGAACGCUGGCGGCAUGCCUCAUACAUGCAAGUCGAACGAGAAAGCACCUUCGGGUGUGAUUAAAGUGGCAAACGGGUGCGUAACACGUGGGAAUCUACCUAUUGGUUCGGAAUAGCCCCGGGAAACUGGGAUUAAUACCGGAUAAAGACUACGGUCGAAAGAUUUAUCGCCGAUAGAUGAGCCCGCGUUAGAUUAGCUAGUUGGUAAGGUAAGAGCUUACCAAGGCUACGAUCUAUAGCUGGUCUGAGAGGAUGAUCAGCCACACUGGGACUGAGAUACGGCCCAG
rnacentral:rRNA from 1 species